CCUACGGGAGGCAGCAGUGGGGAAUAUUGCACAAUGGGGGAAACCCUGAUGCAGCGACGCCGCGUGAGUGAAGAAGUAUCUCGGUACGUAAAGCUCUAUCAGCAGGGAAGAAAAUGACGGUACCUGACUAAGAAGCCCCGGCUCACUACGUGCCAGCAGCCGCGGUAAUACGUAGGGGGCAAGCGUUAUCCGGAUUUACUGGGUGUAAAGGGAGCGUAGAUGGCAUAGUAAGUCUUUUGUAAAAAUGCUGGGCCAAACCCAGUAGGGCAAAAGAUACUGCAAAGCUAGAGUAUGACAGAGGCAAGCGGAAUGAGAGGUGUAGCGGUAAAAUGCGUAAAUAUAUGUAAGAACACCAGUGGCGAAGGCAGCUUGCUGGGGCGAUACUGACAGUGAGGCACGAAAGCGUGGGGAGCGAACAGGAUUAGAUACCCGUGUAGUC
rnacentral:rRNA from 1 species